CCUACGGGUGGCUGCAGUGGGGAAUAUUGGACAAUGGGGGGAACCCUGAUCCAGCCAUGCCGCGUGUGUGAAGAAGGCCCUCGGGUUGUAAAGCACUUUCAGUGAGGAAGAACGCCUGGUGGUUAAUACCCAUCAGGAAAGACAUCACUCACAGAAGAAGCACCGGCUAACUCCGUGCCAGCAGCCGCGGUAAUACGGAGGGUGCGAGCGUUAAUCGGAAUUACUGGGCGUAAAGCGCGCGUAGGUGGCUUGAUAAGCCGGUUGUGAAAGCCCCGGGCUCAACCUGGGAACGGCAUCCGGAACUGUCAAGCUAGAGUGCAGAAGAGGAAGGUAGAAUUCCCGGUGUAGCGGUGAAAUGCGUAGAGAUCGGGAGGAAUACCAGUGGCGAAGGCGGCCUUCUGGACUGACACUGACACUGAGGUGCGAAAGCGUGGGUAGCAAACAGGAUUAGAUACCCGAGUAGUC
rnacentral:rRNA from 1 species